GGCCCCACUGGGAGGGGCUCCCCGGGGCAGGCCCUCCCCCCCUCUCCUCCCCUUCAGCUCUGGGAGCUAGCGCACACUUCCCAGGAGAUGGGUGUGAGUGGGUAUCUCUGGGCCACUGGGUGGCCGGGGGGUGACAACUGCUUCCAGAGGGGGCGGGCUCUGCCCAGGAAGGGACGACCAGAGAUGCGUGACGUCGGUCUCCCUUUUCACUCCCAGUGCCUGCCGUUACAGAGAAACACCAAAACGCAAGCAAACACCCAGAGCAAUAACACGGGCUGGCCACGCAGAUCUUUUAUGGAGGCCUCUGUAGAGAGAUGAUUAACCCUACCUGCUGGCAGCAUCAGAAACAACCGGAAGGCCAGGGGCUGAAGUAGGUCAGAGGGAAGGAAACCCUCAAACCAGCUUUCUUCCUGGCAAUGCAGGGCAGGGGUUAAGGGCGGGGGCUCCUAAGUCGUCGCCUUUGCGUGCUGGUCCUCGGUCCGCCACCCAUCGGCUGUGAACCUGGGCGUGUCGUCUGACUGCUGACCUGCGUGGAAUUUAAGCUCGAUGAAAGCAAGGACUUCUGUCUGUGCUGUUUGCCCCUGCAUUCUGGUGCCUAAAACAACGCCUGACACAGGGAUUUCUCUGGGGACUGUGUGGCAGAUAGCAAAGGUGGACAAGGAUGGAAGCUCGGAGACUCCUUGUGAAGACCUGAUGACAACUCUGGUGAGAGGCCACGGUACUUGGGUGGCAGAGGUGGGAAGACGUGGUCCGACUCAGAACCUCUUUUGAGGGAAGAGCCAACAAUACUUGCUGACAGACUGGAAAGGCCGUGUGAAAAUGAGAGAGGAGUUGGACCGGAGCAAACGGAAAGAUUGAGCUUUCAUGAGUCAAGAGGAACGAAGGCGAGAGAACUGGUUUGGGGGUGUUCCAGGAGGGAAAGGGUGGAUGAAGAUGGAAAGUGUCUGGAGAGAGCGUGAUGACCACCUUCAUUCAACAAAAUUUAUUAAAUCUCGGGGGGAGGGUGUAGCUCAAGUGGUAGAGUGCGUGCUUAGCGUGCAGGAGGUCCUGGGCUCAACCCGCAGUACCUCCUCUAAAAAU